GACUGCCGGUGACAAACCGGAGGAAGGUGGGGAUGACGUCAAAUCAUCAUGCCCCUUAUGAUUUGGGCUACACACGUGCUACAAUGGACAAUACAAAGGGCAGCGAAACCGCGAGGUCAAGCAAAUCCCAUAAAGUUGUUCUCAGUUCGGAUUGUAGUCUGCAACUCGACUAUAUGAAGCUGGAAUCGCUAGUAAUCGUAGAUCAGCAUGCUACGGUGAAUACGUUCCCGGGUCUUGUACACACCGCCCGUCACACCACGAGAGUUUGUAACACCCGAAGCCGGUGGAGUAACCAUUUGGAGCUAGCCGUCGAAGGUGGGACAAAUGAUUGGGGUGAAGUCGUAACAAGGUAGCCGUAUCGGAAGGUGCGGCUGGAUCACCUCCUUU
rnacentral:rRNA from 1 species